rnacentral:rRNA from 1 species
GACGAACGCUGGCGGCGUGCUUAACACAUGCAAGUCGAACGGAAAGGCCCUGCUUUUUUGGUGUUCUCGAUUGGCGGACGGGUAAGUAACACGUGAGUAACCUGCCCUUGACUUUGGUAUAACUUCAGGUAACUGAGGCUAAUACCGGAUAGGAGCUGCUGCUCGAUGGUGAGGGUUGGAAAUUUUCGGCGGGUGGGGAUGGACUCGCGGCUUAUCAGCUUGUUGGUUGGGGAGUGGCUUACCAAGGCUUGGACGGGUAGCCGGCCUGAGAGGGUGACCGGCCACAUUGGGACUGCGAUACGGCCCAGACUCCUACGGGAGGCAGCAGUGGGGAGUAUUGCACAAUGGGCGGAAGCCUGAUGCAGAAACGCCGCGUGCGGGAUGACGGCUUUCGGGGUGUAAACAGCUUUCGCCUGUGACGCAGCGUGAGUGACGGUAAUCGGUAAAGAAGCACCGGCUAACUACGUG